rnacentral:rRNA from 1 species
CAGGGAUUGCCUCAGUAACGGCGAGUGAAGCGGCAACAGCUCAAAUUUGAAAUCUGACCCCCGCGGGGCCCGAGUUGUAAUUUGUAGAGGGUGUUUUGGGCGCGGCGCCGGUCUAAGUUCCUUGGAACAGGACGUCACAGAGGGUGAGAAUCCCGUAUGUGACCGGUGAUCAAGCCCAUGUGAAACCCCUUCGACGAGUCGAGUUGUUUGGGAAUGCAGCUCAAAAUGGGUGGUAAAUUCCAUCUAAAGCUAAAUAUUGGCCGGAGACCGAUAGCGGACAAGUAGAGUGAUCGAAAGAUGAAAAGCACUUUGGAAAGAGAGUUAAACAGUACGUGAAAUUGUUGAAAGGGAAGCGCUUGCAAUCAGACCGGUCCGGGGGUGAUCAGCCGCUGCUCGUCAGCUGGUGCACUCGCCCUCGAUCCGGCCAGCAUCGGUUUGGGCGGUGGGAUAAAAGCCCCGGGAAUGUAGCUUCUCUCGGGGAGUCUUAUAGCCCGGGGUGCAAUGCUGCCCGCCUGGACCGAGGACCGCGCUUCGGCUAGGAUGCUGGCGUAAUGGCUGCAAGCGACCCGUCUUGAAACACGGACCAAGGAGUCUAACAUCUAUGCGAGUGUUUGGGUGUUAAACCCAGGCGCGGAAUGAAAGUGAACGGAGGUGGGAGCCUGUCAAACGGUGCACCAUCGACCGAUCCAGAUGUCUUCGGAUGGAUUUGAGUAUGAGCAUAGCUGUUGGGACCCGAAAGAUGGUGAACUAUGCCCGGAUAGGGUGAAGCCAGAAGAAACUCUGGUGGAGGCUCGCAGCGGUUCUGACGUGCAAAUCGAUCGUCAAAUCUAGGCAUAGGGGCGAAAGACCAAUCGAACCAUCUAG